GGAGAAGCAUCAGCUGAGAGGAGCUAUCACAUGGGAGCCGGGAGCUGCUCAGCAAAGGUGAUCUCUUCCCAGUGGUAGCCCCUGGGCAGUGAGAGACAUUUUUAGAGAAGGUUCAAAUGCGGCCACUCCUUCCUGAAUGCCUGUUAUGUUCCAGCCGCUGUGGAGCUCCCAUCAGCAUGGCACGGUGGGCCGGACAACUGGCCCCGGAGCCGGGCCUCCUGGGUGUGCACCUGGACCUUGCCACUUACUAGCUGCGUGACCUUUGCUGCCUUUAUGAAGAAACUGAAGUUCAGAAGCGUCGCAGAGUUAAUAGGUCCCAGACCUGGGACGGGAAACCAGAUCGCCUGCCAUUCUGAGGAAACAAGAAAUCAGGAAAUUUACAUAAGCACCCUUAAAACUGGGGCACUAUCCCGGAGCUCAGCCGGACUGUGGGAAAGGGAGACAGAGGACUUAGAGUUCUCAGGAUAACAGUCCUUGGAAGGGGAGAAGGGCGUGGAGAAGAGAGGAGAGGAAGUAGAAAAGAAGGGGCCAGAGACACCCAGAGCUGGAGUGGCAGGUGGGCGAGGCUCCCGUGUCUCUCACCCCCUGCUUUUUUGCAGUCACCAAAGUGGAACCCAAGCUGCCUCCUGAGCCAAGUCCCCUUGAAGGCUGGCAAUACAAGUUUACUUGAGAGGCUGUAGCAGAAGGCACUCCCCCGCCUCCUCCCCAGCAGCCAACACACACACACACACACACACACACACACACACACAGUUGGGAAGCCUAGGCCUGGGUUUGCCAUCCCAGGGUCAUUGGACUAGGAUGGGGGAUGGGCCUGUGACAGGAGGUGCCUUGGGUGUCCUCUUUCGGCCCCAUGGAGUCCUCACCCAUCCCCCAGUCAGCAGGGAAUGCUUCCACUCUAGGGAGGGUCCCUCAGACCCCAGGUCCCUCUACUGCCAGUGGGGUCCCAGAGGUGGGGCUGCGGGACGUGGCUUCGGAAUCCGUGGCCCUCUUCUUCAUGCUCCUGCUGGACUUGACCGCCGUGGCCGGCAAUGCUGCUGUGAUGGCUGUUAUCGCCAAGACGCCCGCCCUUCGAAAAUUUGUCUUUGUCUUCCACCUCUGCCUGGUGGACCUGCUGGCCGCUCUGACCCUCAUGCCCCUGGCCAUGCUCUCCAGCUCCGCCCUCUUUGACCAGGACCUCUUUGGGGAGGUCGCCUGCCGCCUCUACCUGUUCCUGAGUGUGUGCUUUGUCAGCCUGGCCAUUCUGUCGGUGUCGGCCAUCAACGUGGAGCGCUACUACUACGUGGUCCACCCCAUGCGCUACGAGGUGCGCAUGACCCUGGGGCUGGUGGCCUCCGUUCUGGUGGCUGUGUGGGUAAAGGCCUUGGCCAUGGCUUCUGUGCCAGUGUUGGGAAGGGUCUCCCGGGAGGAGGGAGCGCCCAGCGUCCCCCUAGGCUGCUCACUCCAAUGGAGCCACAGUGCCUACUGCCAGCUUUUCGUGGUGGUCUUUGCGGUCCUUUACUUCUUGCUGCCCCUGCUCCUCAUCCUCGUGGUCUACUGCAGCAUGUUCCGAGUGGCCCGCGUGGCUGCCAUGCAGCACGGCCCGCUGCCCACGUGGAUGGAGACGCCCCGGCAACGCUCCGAGUCUCUCAGCAGCCGCUCCACGAUGGUCACCAGCUCGGGGGCCCCCCAGACCACCCCGCACCGGACGUUUGGGGGCGGGAAGGCGGCCGUGGUCCUCCUGGCCGUGGGGGGACAGUUCCUGCUCUGCUGGUUGCCCUACUUUUCUUUUCACCUCUACGUUGCCCUGAGCGCUCAGCCCACGUCGACGGGGCAGGUGGAGAGCGUGGUGACCUGGAUUGGCUACUUCUGCUUCACGUCUAACCCUUUCUUCUACGGCUGCCUCAAUCGGCAGAUCCGCGGGGAGCUCAGCAAGCAGUUCGUCUGCUUCUUCAAGCAGGCCCCGGAGGAGGAGCUGAGGCUGCCCAGCCGGGAGGGCUCCAUCGAGGAGAACUUCCUGCAGUUUCUCCAGGGCACUGGCUGUCCCACGGAGUCCUGGGUUUCCCGCCCUGUACCCAGCCCCAAGCAGGAGCCAGCCGCUGUUGACUUUCGAAUCCCAGGCCAGAUAGCCGAGGAGACCUCCGAGUUCCUGGAGCAACACCUCACCAGCGACAUCGUCGUGUCAGACGGCUACCUCCGCCCUGCCCCCUCACCGCGACGGGAGUCCUGAUGGGCUGCUGGACACGAGGAGGGAGAUGGGGCUGGGGGCUGGUUAUGACUGCAGGGAACUCCUUGUGGGAUCACCUUUCUCCGGCUAGCUGGGGCUGCGGCUGGGGUCUCUGCACACAGCUUUUGCUUAGUGUUUUCUGGGUCAGCAACAGAGCCAACAGGAUGGAUGUGUGGCAAAAGCUUGGACCUGGCUAUGAUCCUUGACUUCUGGGGGAGGGGAACCUGGUGAGAUGGUGACGAGAGUAAAGGGUCAUGAAGAACUGGACUCCCUGAUCUCUCUCCUCAUGGCAGUGACCCAUCGCCAGCCCCCUGGACAAUCGGGUACAAGAGAAAAGGUAACAUUAAAGAGUCAAGACAGGACCAGACGGUGGAGUGGCUGACCUGUAUUUGACAAAUCCCUGGCUU
rnacentral:lncRNA from 1 species